rnacentral:misc_RNA from 1 species
CAGCAGCUCAAACGCGCAAUGCCCUUUUCCGGAAAGACGAAGACCGACAGUCGCGCUGCGCACCAGAAUCGGCUGCUUGCGGCUCUGCCAGCGAAGAACCUGCAGGUCUUCCUGGAAAACUGCGAUCGCAUCACCCUCGCCCGGGCGGAAGUGCUGUGCGAGUCCGGAGCGCGGAUCCGGCACGUCUACUUUCCCAUCGACAGUUGCAUUUCGUUGAUAGCCCUGGUCGACGAUCGGGCCAGCCUGGAAGUGGGCAUCAUCGGGCAUGAGGGCAUGCUGGGCACGGCCCUGAUCCUCGGCCUGAAUAUUUCACCGUUGCAUGCAGUCAUCCAGGGA